rnacentral:hammerhead_ribozyme from 1 species
AUCCAGCUGACGAGUCCCAAACAGGAUGAAACGCGCGUCCUGAAU